AUGGGGUUCAGGGGUCUCCAUGCUUUUAACUUAGCAAUGUUGGCUAAACAGAGUUGGAGGAUGAUUUCUCAUCCUGAAACGUUAAGUGCCCAAGUGUUGAGAGCAAAAUAUUUCCCAAACGGGAAUAUACUCAAGGUAGGACCGAAGAGAGGUUCUUCUUACACAUGGCAAAGCAUCUGGGGACUGCAAACAUUUAAAAGAGGACACGUAUGGAGGGUUGGAUCAUGUGAGAAAUUCGGUAUAUGGGAUGGUCAUUGGAUUCCCUCGAGUACCACAAGGAUGGUGUUUGCAAGAAGAGGCAAAUCGUUGUUAAGAACAGUAAAUGAAUUGAUGAUCCCAGACACGAGGAUAUGGGAUGAAGAACUGAUCAGAAGCAUAUUUUUCCCGAUGGAUGCAGAGAACAUAUUGCGAAUCCCAUUAUCAGAACACCUUAUGGAUGAUUUUGUUGACUGGAACAAAACCAAGUCAUUUUCCUUCUCUGUACGCUCAACAUAUUAUACAGAAUGGGAACAUCAAUUUGGGAUGAGGAUCUACAGCAACCAAGGUUCAGUUUCAGUUCAUCCGCUGUGGGAUAUAGUCUGGAAGCUAGAGGUCCCUAGCAAAAUCAAAAUAUUCAUUUGGCGGGCACUUCAUGGCCUCAUUCCGGGUAUGGCCGUACUUGCUGGUAGAUACAUAAAGGUCUCGCUGGUCUGCCCAGUAUGUCAAACAGGUCUUGAGGAUAUUAAGCAUUUGUUGUUUACCUGCCCACGCGCCUCCCAGGUUUGGCGUGCUCUUGGACUGGAUGAAAUCAUAGAACAAGCAGUGCAGGUUGAUUGUUCUGGCUCAGUUGUGCUGGAGGACAUUCUCAGGAGGCCGAUAGGUCCCUCUCCGGUUCUUGGUCAGCUGGGACUACACGAAACAGUAGCAGUGGCAUCAUGGUACAUUUGGUGGGAGCGUCGUCAGGCACAAAAAGGGGAAACAGUGAAAACUCCAAAAAGUACAGCUUGCUAUGCAUGCGAUUACGACUAA
rnacentral:rRNA from 1 species